UACAGAGGUCUCAAGCGUUGUUCGGAUUCAUUGGGCGUAAAGGGUGCGUAGGUGGCGUGGCAAGUCUGAUGUGAAAUCCCGGGGCUCAACCCCGGAACUGCAUUCGAUACUGCCGUGCUUGAGGACUGGAGAGGAGACUGGAAUUUACGGUGUAGCGGUGAAAUGCGUAGAUAUCGUAAGGAAGACCAGUGGCGAAGGCGGGUCUCUGGACAGUUCCUGACGCUGAGGCACGAAGGUCAGGGGAGCAAACGGG
rnacentral:rRNA from 1 species